rnacentral:misc_RNA from 1 species
GAUGAAGAACGUAGCGAAAUGCGAUACGUAGUGUGAAUUGCAGAAUUCAGUGAAUCAUCGAAUCUUUGAACGCACAUUGCACCUCUCGGUAUUCCGGGAGGUAUGCCUGUUCGAGCGUCAUUUGUACCCUCAAACUCUGCUUGGUGUUGGGUGUUUGUUCCGCCUCUGUGUGUGAACUCGCCUCAAAACAAUUGGCAGCCGGCGUACUUGUUUCGGAGCGCAGCACAUUUUGCGAUCCAGAUCAACGUACAGCGGCAUCCAAGAAGCCUUAUUUAACGCUCUUGACCUCGGAUCAGGUAGGGAUACCCGCUGAACUUAAGCAUAUCAAUAAGCGGAGGA